GGGUCAGUGGUGCAACGGAUAGAGCGCGCAUCCCCUGAAAGAGUGAGGUGUGGGUUCUAGUCCCGCCUGACGCG